UACGUAGGGUGCGAGCGUUAAUCGGAAUUACUGGGCGUAAAGCGUGCGCAGGCGGUUUUGUAAGCCAGAUGUGAAAUCCCCGGGCUCAACCUGGGAAUGGCAUUUGGGACUGCAAAGCUGGAGUGCGGCAGAGGGGACUGGAAUUCCUGGUGUAGCAGUGAAAUGCGUAGAGAUCAGGAGGAAUACCGAUGGCGAAGGCAAUCCCCUGGACCUCGUACUGACGCUCAUGCACGAAAGCGUGGGGAGCAAACAG
rnacentral:rRNA from 1 species